GGUCCCUCCAGCUCAGGACAUUCUGUGAUUCCAUGAUAAGGCCAAAUCCUUGCUACAGCUUUGGCCACUGGUCUGGAACUUCAUGGAACUUCUGGAACUUCUGGAACCUCAGGGAAUCCACAGGUCUCUGAAGCAGAAACCAAACUCAGCCCAAAGCAGGACUGGGCAGAGGAAGCUGCUCCCUGAUAUCCAAACCGGCCUGGCAGAAAGCAAAGAGCUUUUUAGGAAGCAAAGUCACUGGAAACUGUCCCUUCCUGCCACCUUGGGGCUCAUUUUGCUGGGGACAAGUGGAGAUCACCGACAGGGCCUGAGGGCUGGACCAGUUUCAGGAUCCCUUGAUUCCAUAUGCAGUGGCAUCAUUCACAGGAAAAAAAUCAAUGGGAAAGAGAGGACAGGAAAACCCAACCAAGACUGACACAGCUCCAGCCUCAGGGCAUCAGCCUUUCAGCUCCACAAGCAGAUAUUCCCUGGUUUUUGGAAUAAUGGGAGCUCUCAACCACUGCUUCAGAGCUUUCUCAGUGGAAAAUGCAGAUCCUGUGCUCCAUUUAAGAACAGGGAAUGUGAGACACAUCAGAUGGAUGUGACCUCUCCAGGAGAAGUGCAAAGGUCAAGAACAGAGUAUUGUAUUUGUGGGAUACCAUGAUGAAGGAAGGAAUGAAGAAUCUGAGUCCAUGUUCU